UACAGGGGGGCAAGCGUUGUUCGGAAUUACUGGGCGUAAAGGGCGCGUAGGCGGCCUUCUAAGUCGAACGUGAAAUCCCCGGGCUCAACCCGGGAACUGCGUCCGAGACUGAAAGGCUCGAAUCCGGGAGAGGGAUGUGGAAUUCCAGGUGUAGCGGUGAAAUGCGUAGAUAUCUGGAAGGAACACCAAUGGCGAAGGCAGCUCGCUGGAACGGUACUGACGCUGAGGCGCGAAGCGUGGGAGCGAACGAGG
rnacentral:rRNA from 1 species